rnacentral:lncRNA from 1 species
UCAUGGUUUCUCUCACAGGUACUGGCAACAAGACGCUUGGCACAAGUUCUUCGACACGCUCCUCAACGUGCCGUCCUGCUCUCAGCUGCCCGAUCUAGCUGAUCUACGACGCACCUUGCAAGACGCUCUUUUCAACAUCAAGACGCAGGAAUUACCGUAUCACCUGACGCAACUUCGCAGCAUCUUGGCCGAGAUGUCCUGAAAACAACACGUGGAUGUUCACAAAAGACUGUGGUUUACGGCUGAUACGCCAACAUAUGGUUUUAUUGUCUGGCUUGCCUGCUUGUAGACCAAGAUCUCGAGGAAUCUUAGUUUAGGAUUUUUUAGUUUCUGAAUAAAAGUAGAGAUUAGGUCCUGAAUGAAAAACGAUAAUUGUGAGCAUUAGAUAGUUGUAAUAACUGCCUGCUAAUUGGUGGUACAUUUCGAAGAAGCUAUAUUACUUCCUUUCGAGUAAAUUAUGUGAUCUUUACAUUUCUACCUUCUUUGCUUUUCUUCUUAGAAUGAGAAACGUUUUCUUAGGCUGUACAUUUAUUGACUGGACGUCAUCUUUAUUAUUUUCAUUAGUCUCAGGUUUUAACAUAAGCCUUAGGUAUUAUCAGGUAAUAUUAGCAAUGUAUUUUAGUAGCUUUGUUUACUUUUAAUUUAGUGUUUCACUCUUGUAACUUCUUCAUUCAUGUUUUAGUUCAAAGUAAACGUCCGCUUGACUUCUCUUGCUUUGUGCUUCACAGUUCCAAAUGAUUUCCCUACAGUCUAGAAGAUAAUUUUGUGCUGUCGCUUCAUAUUUAAGAAUAUAAAUACAAAG